rnacentral:rRNA from 1 species
GAAAGCGUGGGGAGCGAACAGGAUUAGAUACCCUGGUAGUCCACGCCGUAAACUAUGAUCACUAGAUGUUGGCGAUAUAUUGUCAGUGUUUUAGAGAAAUCGUUAAGUGAUCCACCUGGGGAGUACGUUCGCAAGAAUGAAACUCAAAGGAAUUGACGGGGGCCCGCACAAGCGGAGGAGCAUGUGGUUUAAUUCGAUGAUACGCGAGGAACCUUACCAAGACUUAAAUGUAUUUUGCUAGAUUGAGAAAUCAAUUUUUCUUCGGACAAUUUACAAGGUGCUGCAUGGUUGUCGUCAGCUCGUGCCGUGAGGUGUCGGGUUAAGUCCCAUAACGAGCGCAACCCCUACCCUUAGUUACCAGCAUGUUAUGAUGGGGACUCUGAGGGAACUGCCUACGCAAGUAGAGAGGAAGGUGGGGAUGACGUCAAAUCAGCACGGCCCUUACGUCCGGGGCUACACACGUGCUACAAUGGCCGGUACAGAGGGCAGCCACCUGGUGACAGGGAGCGAAUCUCGAAAGCCGGUCUCAGUUCGGAUCGAAGUCUGCAACCCGACUUCGUGAAGCUGGAAUCGCUAGUAAUCGCGCAUCAGCCAUGGCGCGGUGAAUACGUUCCCGGGUCUUGUACUCACCGCCCGUCACACCAUGGGAGUU